rnacentral:misc_RNA from 1 species
UUAAGUUCAGCGGGUAUCCCUACCUGAUCCGAGGUCAACCAUAAAAGAAUUAGGGGUUCUGGCAGGACACCGUUUGACGUCUAUAGCGAGAAGAAUUACUACGCUUAGAGCCAGACGGCACCGCCACUGAUUCUGAGACCCACCGUUACCGGUGUAGCCCGAUACCAAGCUGAGCUUGAGGGUUGAAAUGACGCUCGAAC